GAUAAACGCUGGCGGCGUGCCUAAUACAUGCAAGUCGAGCGAACGGACGAGAAGCUUGCUUCUCUGAUGUUAGCGGCGGACGGGUGAGUAACACGUGGAUAACCUACCUAUAAGACUGGGAUAACUUCGGGAAACCGGAGCUAAUACCGGAUAAUAUUUUGAACCGCAUGGUUCAAAAGUGAAAGACGGUCUUGCUGUCACUUAUAGAUGGAUCCGCGCUGCAUUAGCUAGUUGGUAAGGUAACGGCUUACCAAGGCAACGAUGCAUAGCCGACCUGAGAGGGUGAUCGGCCACACUGGAACUGAGACACGGUCCAGACUCCUACGGGAGGCAGCAGUAGGGAAUCUUCCGCAAUGGGCGAAAGCCUGACGGAGCAACGCCGCGUGAGUGAUGAAGGUCUUCGGAUCGUAAAACUCUGUUAUUAGGGAAGAACAUAUGUGUAAGUAACUGUGCACAUCUUGACGGUACCUAAUCAGAAAGCCACGGCUAACUACGUGCCAGCAGCCGCGGUAAUACGUAGGUGGCAAGCGUUAUCCGGAAUUAUUGGGCGUAAAGCGCGCGUAGGCGGUUUUUUAAGUCUGAUGUGAAAGCCCACGGCUCAACCGUGGAGGGUCAUUGGAAACUGGAAAACUUGAGUGCAGAAGAGGAAAGUGGAAUUCCAUGUGUAGCGGUGAAAUGCGCAGAGAUAUGGAGGAACACCAGUGGCGAAGGCGACUUUCUGGUCUGUAACUGACGCUGAUGUGCGAAAGCGUGGGGAUCAAACAGGAUUAGAUACCCUGGUAGUCCACGCCGUAAACGAUGAGUGCUAAGUGUUAGGGGGUUUCCGCCCCUUAGUGCUGCAGCUAACGCAUUAAGCACUCCGCCUGGGGAGUACGACCGCAAGGUUGAAACUCAAAGGAAUUGACGGGGACCCGCACAAGCGGUGGAGCAUGUGGUUUAAUUCGAAGCAACGCGAAGAACCUUACCAAAUCUUGACAUCCUUUGACAACUCUAGAGAUAGAGCCUUCCCCUUCGGGGGACAAAGUGACAGGUGGUGCAUGGUUGUCGUCAGCUCGUGUCGUGAGAUGUUGGGUUAAGUCCCGCAACGAGCGCAACCCUUAAGCUUAGUUGCCAUCAUUAAGUUGGGCACUCUAAGUUGACUGCCGGUGACAAACCGGAGGAAGGUGGGGAUGACGUCAAAUCAUCAUGCCCCUUAUGAUUUGGGCUACACACGUGCUACAAUGGACAAUACAGAGGGCAGCGAAACCGCGAGGUCAAGCAAAUCCCAUAAAGUUGUUCUCAGUUCGGAUUGUAGUCUGCAACUCGACUACAUGAAGCUGGAAUCGCUAGUAAUCGUAGAUCAGCAUGCUACGGUGAAUACGUUCCCGGGUCU
rnacentral:rRNA from 1 species